UACAGAGGGGGCAAGCGUUGUUCGGAAUUACUGGGCGUAAAGGGCGCGUAGGCGGCCUGUUAAGUCGAACGUGAAAUCCCCGGGCUCAACCCGGGAACUGCGUCCGAUACUGGCAGGCUUGAAUCCGGGAGAGGGAUGCGGAAUUCCGGGUGUAGCGGUGGAAUGCGUAGAGAUCCGGAAGAACACCGGUGGCGAAGGCGGCCUGCUGGGCAGUAGCUGACACUGAGGCGCGACAGCGUGGGGAGCAAACAGG
rnacentral:rRNA from 1 species